GAUGAACGCUGGCGGCGUGCCUAAUACAUGCAAGUCGUGCGAACGGACGAGAAGCUUGCUUCUCUGAUGUUAGCGGCGGACGGGUGAGUAACACGUGGAUAACCUACCUAUAAGACUGGGAUAACUUCGGGAAACCGGAGCUAAUACCGGAUAAUAUUUUGAACCGCAUGGUUCAAAAGUGAAAGACGGUCUUGCUGUCACUUAUAGAUGGAUCCGCGCUGCAUUAGCUAGUUGGUAAGGUAACGGCUUACCAAGGCAACGAUGCAUAGCCGACCUGAGAGGGUGAUCGGCCACACUGGAACUGAGACACGGUCCAGACUCCUACGGGAGGCAGCAGUAGGUAAUCUUCCGCAAUGGGCGAAAGCCUGACGGAGCAACGCCGCGUGAGUGAUGAAGGUCUUCGGAUCGUAAAACUCUGUUAUUAGGGAAGAACAUAUGUGUAAGUAACUGUGCACAUCUUGACGGUACCUAAUCAGAAAGCCACGGCUAACUACGUG
rnacentral:rRNA from 1 species